GAACAGUAGGAACAGAGGAGGGUGAAGGCUCGGAAGGAGGCACAGCCUCUGGCCCACCUGCCCAUCUCCAGGCCCCUCUGCUGAUAUCUGGAUGUUAUUGGUGGAUGGAGGGAAGGAUGAAGGUAGAGAGGUGGAGGCAACUCACUAGGAUGCCAGUUAGAGAAGAAUGACUGGUCAUCCCAGGUUCCUGGAGGGAACACCUUACUAUAUUGUCUGGCACUGGCAUUAAGACUCUCUCUU